rnacentral:tRNA from 1 species
GCGCCCGUAGCUCAGGUGGUAGAGCAUCUGACUUUUAAUCAGAGGGUCGCUGGUUCGAGUCCAGCCGGGCGUACCA